CACCACGAACGGGUGGAGCUUGUCGGUUUAAUUGGAUUCAACGCCGGAAUCUUACCGGGACCGACAGCAAUAUGAAGGCCAGGCUGAAGACUUUGCCGGAUUAGCUGAGAGGUGGUGCAUGGCCGUCGUCAGUUCGUACUGUGAAGCAUCCUGUUAAGUCAGGCAACGAGCGAGACCCACGCCCACAGUUGCCAGCGUACUCUCUGGAGUGACGGGUACACUGUGGGACCGCCGCUGCUAAAGCGGAGGAAGGAAUGGGCAACGGUAGGUCAGUAUGCCCCGAAUAUCCCGGGCUACACGCGAGCUACAAUGGUUGGUACAAUGGGUAUCUACCCCGAAAGGGGACGGGAAUCUCCUAAAACCAAUCUUAGUUCGGAUUGAGGGCUGCAACUCGCCCUCAUGAAGCUGGAAUCCGUAGUAAUCGCGUUUCAACAGAACGCGGUGAAUACGUCCCUGCUCCUU
rnacentral:rRNA from 1 species